UACGUAGGGUGCAAGCGUUAAUCGGAAUUACUGGGCGUAAAGCGUGCGCAGGCGGUUUUGUAAGUCUGACGUGAAAUCCCCGGGCUCAACCUGGGAAUUGCGUUGGAGACUGCAAGGCUGGAGUCUGGCAGAGGGGGGUAGAAUUCCACGUGUAGCAGUGAAAUGCGUAGAGAUGUGGAGGAAUACCGAUGGCGAAGGCAGCCCCCUGGGAUGAUACUGACGCUCAUGCACGAAAGCGUGGGGAGCAAACAGG
rnacentral:rRNA from 1 species